rnacentral:rRNA from 1 species
AUACGGAGGGAGCGAGCGUUAAUCGGAAUUACUGGGCGUAAAGCGCGCGUAGGCGGCUUUGUAAGUCGGAUGUGAAAGCCCCGGGCUCAACCCGGGAACUGCGCUUAUUACUGAUAAACUAGAGUCCGGGAGAGGGUGGCGGAAUUCCCAGUGUAGAGGUGAAAUUCGUAGAUAUUGGGAAGAACACCAGUUGCGAAGGCGGCCACCUGGACCGGUACUGACGCUGAGGUGCGAAAGCGUGGGGAGCAAACAGGAUUAGAAACCCCGGUAGUCC